GCAUUUUUAGCUCAGUCUGGAUAGAGCAACAGCCUUCUAAGCUGCUGGACGUAGGUUCAAAUCCUACAAGAUGUA
rnacentral:tRNA from 1 species